AUAAAAUAAUUAUGUUUUUGGAAUUUAUUAUAAAUUUAUUUUACAUAUAAAUUUUAGUAUAUAAUUUUAAUUAUUUUAAAAAUAAUUAAUUUAAUUUUAGUAGUAAUUAAUAUUAAAAAUUUAAGAAAUUAAGAUUUAGUAAUAUAAAAAUUAAUAACUAAUUUUGUGCCAGCAGUUGCGGUUAAACAAAAGUUAAAUUAAAUUGUUUCAGUAUAUAAUAAAUAAUUAAAUUAUUAAAAUAAAUGUUAAAUUAUUAAGUGAAAUUUUAAUUUAACUAAAUUUUAUUUUUAAAUUAUGAUUUAAUAAAUUUUAAUGUAAACUAGGAUUAGAUACCCUAUUAUUAAAAAUUUAAUUUAUAAUACUAAAAUAGUAAAUAAUAAUUUAUUGAAACUUAAAUAACAUGGCGGUAUUUUAGUUCAUUUAGAGGAAUCUGUCUAAUAAUUGAUAAUCCACGAAUAAAUUUACUUAAUUUAUAAUUUUGUAUAUCAUUGUUAAAAAAAUAUUUUUAAGGAAAAAUAAUAUUUAAUAUUUAAUAUUAAAAGUUAAAUCAGAUCAAGAUGCAGAAUAUAAUUAAGAAUAUGAUGGAUUACAAUAAUUAUAAUUAAAUGAAUAAUUUUUUUUUGUAAUAAAAAUUUGAAGGUGGAUUUAAAUGUAAUUUUAAUUAAUUUAUUAAAAUGAUUAAAAAUUAAAAUAUGUACAUAUUGCCCGUCACUUUCAUUUGAAAAUUGAAAUAAGUCGUAACAAAGUAGAGGUACUGGAAAGUGUUUCUAGAAAGA
rnacentral:ncRNA from 2 species